GAGACCUCAGGUCAGGCGGG
rnacentral:rRNA from 6 species